UUCCCUACGGGGCGCAGCAGUGGGGGAUAUUGCACAAUGGGGGGAACCCUGAUGCAGCGACGCCGCGUGGGUGAAGAAGCGCCUCGGCGCGUAAAGCCCUGUCAGCAGGGAAGAAAAUGACGGUACCUGAAGAAGAAGCCCCGGCUAACUACGUGCCAGCAGCCGCGGUAAUACGUAGGUGGCGAGCGUUAUCCGGAAUGAUUGGGCGUAAAGGGUGCGUAGGCGGUCGAUUAAGUCUGGAGUGAAAGGUACCGGCUCAACCGGUAUAGGCUCCGGAAACUGAUGGACUGGAGUACAGGAGAGGG
rnacentral:rRNA from 1 species